rnacentral:rRNA from 1 species
CCUACGGGAGGCAGCAGUGGGGAAUCUUGCGCAAUGGGCGAAAGCCUGACGCAGCCAUGCCGCGUGAAUGAUGAAGGUCUUAGGAUUGUAAAAUUCUUUCACCGGGGGACGAUAAUGACGGUACCCGGAGAAGAAGCCCCGGCUAACUUCGUGCCAGCAGCCGCGGUAAUACGAAGGGGGCUAGCGUUGCUCGGAAUUACUGGGCGUAAAGGGAGCGUAGGCGGAUAGUUUAGUCAGAGGUGAAAGCCCAGGGUCUCAACCUUGGAAUUGCCUUUGAUACUGGCUAUCUUGAGUAUGGGAGAGGUUAGCGGAACUCCGAGUGUAGAGGUGAAAGUUCGUAGAUAUUCGGAAGAACACCAGUGGCGAAGGCGGCUAACUGGCCCAUUACUGACGCUGAGGCUCGAAACGCGUGGGGAGCAAACAGGAUUAGAUACCCUGGUAGUCCACGCCGUAAACGAUGAGUGCUAGUUGUCGGCAUGCAUGCAUGUCGGUGACGUCGAGCUAACGACAUAAGUACACUCCGCCGUGGGAGGUACGGUCGGCGAAGAAGUUAAAACUAACGAAAGGAAAGUUAGACGGACGUGAGACGUGCCGAACGGACGACCGACGAGGGAGGUAGG